rnacentral:rRNA from 1 species
UACGAAGGGGGCUAGCGUUGCUCGGAAUCACUGGGCGUAAAGGGUGCGUAGGCGGGUCUUAAGUCAGGGGUGAAAUCCUGGAGCUCAACUCCAGAACUGCCUUCGAUACUGAGAGUCUCGAGUCCGAGAGAGGUGAGUGGAACUGCGAGUGUAGAGGUGAAAUUCGUAGAUAUUCGCAAGAACACCAGUGGCGAAGGCGGCUCACUGGCUCGGUACUGACGCUGAGG